rnacentral:rRNA from 1 species
GAACGAACGCUGGCGGCGUGGAUUAGGCAUGCAAGUCGAACGAGAAUCUGAGAGUUCAAGUUUUCGGACAAGAACUUUUGGAGGAAAGUGGCGGAAGGGUGAGUACAACAUGGAUAAUCUACCUUCAAGUUGGGUAUAGCUUCCCGAAAGGGGAGAUAAUCCCGAAUGUGGUGAUCCGGCGCAUGCCGGAGAAUCCAAAGGCGGGGACCGCAAGGCCUGUCGCUUGAAGAUGAGUCCGUGCACUAUCAGCUUGUUGGCGGGGUAAUGGCCCACCAAGGCUAUGACAGUUAGCUGGUCUGAGAGGAUGGUCAGCCACACUGGGACUGAGAUACUGCCCAGACUCCUACGGGAGGCUGCAGUCGAGAAUCAUUCGCAAUGGGCGAAAGCCUGACGGUGCGACGUCGCGUGGAGGAUGAAGGUCUUCGGAUUGUAAACUCCUGUCAUGUGGGAUAAAUGGCCGGGGCACGAAUAGUGCCUCGGAAUGAUAGUACCACAGGAGGAAGAGACGGCUAACUCUGUGCCAGCAGCCGCGGUAAUGCAGAGGUCUCGAGCGUUGUUCGGAUUUACUGGGCGUAAAGGGAGCGUAGGCGGUUCGGUAUGUCGAAUGUGAAAGCUCACAACUCAACUGUGGAAAUGCAUUCGAAACUGCCGGGCUAGAGUACUGGAGAGGAGAGCGGAAUUCUUGGUGUAGCGGUGAAAUGCGUAGAUAUCAAGAGGAACACCGGUGGCGAAGGCGGCUCNNNGGACAGAUACUGACGCUGAGGCUCUAAAGUUAGGGGAGCAAACGGGAUUAGAGACCCCGGUAGUCCUAGCCCUAAACGAUGUAGACNNNGCGUCGGUGGUUUAAUCGCCAUCGGUGUCGUAGCUAACGCGAUAAGUCUACCGCCUGGGGACUACGGCCGCAAGGUUAAAACUCAAAGGAAUUGACGGGUCCCCGCACAAGCAGCGGAGCGUGUGGUUUAAUUCGAUGCUACACGAAGAACCUUACCUGGGUUUGACAUAGAGGUAGUAGGGAAGCGAAAGCGGACCGACCCUUCGGGGAGCCUCUACAGGUGUUGCAUGGCUGUCGUCAGCUCGUGUCGUGAGAUGUUCGGUUAAGUCCGCUAACGAGCGCAACCCUCGCUGUGUGUUACAAGUGUCACACGGUACUGCCGAUAUUAAGUCGGAGGAGGGUGGGGAUGACGUCAAGUCAGCAUGACCUUUAUAUCCAGGGCUACACACACGCUACAAUGGCCAGUACAAUGGGUUGCCAAGCCGCGAGGCGGAGCCAAUCCUAAAAAGCUGGCCUCAGUUCAGAUUGCAGUCUGCAACUCGACUGCAUGAAGUUGGAGUUGCUAGUAACCGCAGGUCAGCAAUACUGCGGUGAAUACGUUCCCGGGGAU